UAUGUAUUGUGCAAGGCACAAAAAUGCCAGACCAGAAUAAAGCAUGUUUUCUUUAUCUUUCAAUAUUAAAAACAUUAUUGAAUUAUUUAUUUAUGUUAAUUUAAAAUUGCUUGUUGGGCUGCAUUCAAAGCCAUCCUGGGCCACAAGUUGGACACCCUUGGUCUAAAUAUUCAAGUAAAGUGACAUGAAAAAAAAUAAGUUAUAUAGACUAAUAAGCUCAUAAACAUUUAUAUAAGAUUAGGCUGAUCUAAUCAUCUAGAGCCAUUGUUCAUAUAUAUGUCAGCCAACUAGCUCAAUAGGUAGCUUUUGUAGGGUUAAUUCUACAAGAGCUAUUUUGUUGAGCUGAUUAGCUGUCAUAUGUAGGAGUUAACAUAAUUCGAAUCUUUUAUAUUUUUUUCACUAUUCUCCAACAAAGUGGUGGUCUCCUCAUAUCUUUUUAAACCUGG
rnacentral:lncRNA from 1 species